UACGAAGGGGGCUAGCGUUGUUCGGAAUUACUGGGCGUAAAGCGCACGUAGGCGGAUUAGUAAGUCAGGGGUGAAAUCCCGGGGCUCAACCUCGGAACUGCCUUUGAUACUGCAAGUCUCGAGUCCGGAAGAGGUGGGUGGAAUUCCUAGUGUAGAGGUGAAAUUCGUAGAUAUUAGGAAGAACACCAGUGGCGAAGGCGGCCCACUGGUCCGGUACUGACGCUGAGGUGCGAAAGCGUGGGGAGCAAACAGG
rnacentral:rRNA from 1 species